rnacentral:rRNA from 1 species
GUAGGUGGCAAGCGUUGUCCGGAAUUAUUGGGCGUAAAGCGCGCGCAGGCGGUUCUUUAAGUCUGAUGUGAAAGCCCACGGCUCAACCGUGGAGGGUCAUUGGAAACCGGAGAACUUGAGUACAGAAGAGGAAAGCGGAAUUCCACGUGUAGCGGUGAAAUGCGUAGAGAUGUGGAGGAACACAAGUGGCGAAGGCGGCUUUCUGGUCUGUAACUGACGCUGAGGCGCGAAAGCGUGGGGAGCAAACAGGGAUUAGAUACCCUGGUAGUCCACGCCGUAAACGAUGAGUGCUAAGUGUUAGAGGGUUUCCGCCCCCCUUAGUGCUGCAGCUAACGCAUUAAGCACUCCGCCUGGGAGUACGGCCGCAAGGCUG